rnacentral:rRNA from 1 species
AUUGAACGCUGGCGGCAGGCCUAACACAUGCAAGUCGAACGAGUGGCGGACGGGUGAGUAAUGUCUGGGAAACUGCCCGAUGGAGGGGGAUAACUACUGGAAACGGUAGCUAAUACCGCAUACCCUCGGAUGUGCCCCGAUGGGAUUGGCUUGUAGGUGAGGUAACGGCUCACCAAGGCGACGAUCCCUAGCUGGUCUUAGAGGAUGACCACCCACGCAGGAGAGGAGAAACGGUACAGACGCAGACGGGAGGGAGCAGUGGGGAAUAUUGCACAAUGGGCGAAAGGCGGAUCAAGCCAGACAGCGUGUAUGAAGAAGGCCUUAGUGGUGUAAAGUACUUUCAGCGGAGAGGCGUUAUGUGCAGAAGAAGCACGGGCUAACGCCGUGCCAGCAGCCGCGGUAAGAC